rnacentral:rRNA from 1 species
GAUGAACGCUGGCGGCGUGCCUAAUACAUGCAAGUCGAGCGAACAGACGAGGUGCUUGCACCUCUGACGUUAGCGGCGGACGGGUGAGUAACACGUGGAUAACCUACCUAUAAGACUGGGAUAACUUCGGGAAACCGGAGCUAAUACCGGAUAAUAUAUUUAACCGCAUGGUUCAAUAGUGAAAGACGGUUUUGCUGUCCCUUAUAGAUGGAUCCGCGCCGCAUUAGCUAGUUGGUAAGGUAACGGCUUACCAAGGCGACGAUGAGUAGCCGACCUGAGAGGGUGAUCGGCCACACUGGAACUGAGACACGGUCAAGACUCCUACGGGAGGAAGAAGUAGGGAAUCUUCCGCAAUGGGCGAAAGCCUGACGGAGCAACGCCGCGUGAGUGAUGAAGGUCUUCGGAUCGUAAAACUCUGUUAUUAGGGAAGAACAAAUGUGUAAGUAACUAUGCACGUCUUGACGGUACCUAAUCAGAAAGCCACGGCUAACUACGUG